rnacentral:rRNA from 1 species
AGAGAGAGACAUGCGCGCAUAUCAAUAGCGGAGGAAAAGAAACUAACAAGGAUUCCCCUAGUAACGGCGAGUGAAGCGGGAAGAGCUCAAAUUUGAAAUCUUAAAGGGUUUCCCUUUACGAAUUGUAGUUUAAAGAAGUGUUUUCUGUUGAGGUUUUGGUAAAAGUUCUUUGGAAUAGGACAUCAUAGAGGGUGAGAAUCCCGUAUUUGACCUUUACUUUCAACUUUGUGAUACACUUUCAAGAGUCGGAUUGUUUGGGAAUGCAGUCCAAAAUGGGUGGUAAAUUUCAUCUAAAGCUAAAUAUUGGCGAGAGACCGAUAGCGAACAAGUACCGUGAGGGAAAGAUGAAAAGAACUUUGAAAAGAGAGUUAAACAGUACGUGAAAUUGUCAAAAGGGAAGCGUUUGACACCAGUGUUGUUUUUCUGAAAAUCAAUUAAAGAACUGUUUAUGCUAAGUUGUUUAGACUUUAUCAGCUAACUGUUUAGUUUUGAGCUUUUCUUUAAUGCACCUUUUCAGUUAACAAGUCAACAUCAAUUUCUUUUGCUGUAAAAAAGCUUGAGGAAGGUGGCUUGAGAUUCGUCUUAAGUGUUUAUAGCCUCUUGCCUAUGCAGUCGGAGAGAUUGAGGUCUGCAGCGUAGAUCCUUCGGGGCUAAAUGCAUUUGUGCUAAGUUAUAGCAUUUUAUAGACAACUUGUUGACUAUGAUUUGUCUUGUAGCUUACUCGCUUAUGUUAUUUUACCUACGCUUAGGAUGUUGAGCGCAUGUCUCUCUCU